rnacentral:rRNA from 1 species
UACGUAGGGGGCGAGCGUUGUCCGGAAUCAUUGGGCGUAAAGCGCGUGUAGGCGGUUCAGUAAGUCUGCUGUGAAAGUCCAGGGCUCAACCCUGGGAUGCCGGUGGAUACUGCUGAACUAGAGUGCGGAAGAGGCGAGUGGAAUUCCCGGUGUAGCGGUGAAAUGCGUAGAUAUCGGAAGGAACACCAGUGGCGAAAGCGGCUUCCUGGUCCAGCACCGACGUUCAGGCACGAAAGCGUGGGGAGCAAACAGG